CUGCUAUGUUAAUAGCUUGCUAGACCCUGCAAGAGCCUCCUGUAUGUGAUUAAAGUUCAAUUUAGAGAUUGAGAUACAAUUAUUUAAGGUAAAUUACAUCUGUUUGAAAGUGAAACCAGUUUUUUUUUUUUCGUGCAGGCUCUGUUAAUCAUAGCCAGGGGAGGUGUGGCUAGGGCUGCAUAAACAGAAACAACGUGUGAUAUGAAUUUAAACCACAACAACGUGAUUUAACUCCUAAAUGACAGUGAAUUGAGCAGUGAAAUUGCAGGGGAAUAAUCUAUACACUAAAACUGCUUUAUUUAGCUAAAGUAAUUUAGGUGACUAUAGUGUUCCUUUAAACUCAGUAAUAAUUGUAACUGCUUUAUAUAACUAAGGGUGACACUUCAGGACUGAUUAUCUCAUUUAGUAAUUUUGAUUGAUAUUGGCUAAAUAUACUAUACGAUCAACUUUGUAAAUAGGAUCUGUACUGUUAUCUUACAGACAGAUUUGGGACUACUUUCCCUAUUUUAAAAUUGCUUGUCACACUUGUUUUAUUUUAUGCAUUAACAUAUUAAAAGUUAAGUUUUAUUAAUAGACAUAGUAAGACAAAAUUUUGAUAUUUUUUCCCCUAACCUCUGGUGACACCUACGGGUAGUUUUUUAUUACUACAAUUUUUAAUUUUUGUUUUAUUUCUAAUUCUUUUGCUGUUUAGAUAUAUAUAGAUAUUAGGGGUUACCCCCCAUUUUCUCCUACUACCACUAGAUUGCUCACCGUCCAAUUAAGGCUCGAUUAAAGCUUUUGUUCUGGGUAAUAGUUUCUUGAUCCAAGGAUACAUCUGACUGCCAUUGUGGGGGUCAAGAUGGAAUUUUUUACUAAUUUGUUGCAAAAUUGGAAGUGCUUCAACCUUUUUUUUAAAAUAAUUUUGUUGGCUUCUUUUGGAUGGACCAACAGCAAAAAAAAAACAGAGAUGAGAAAGGCUGAGCUUGAUGGACAUGUGCCUCUUUUCAGCCUAUAUAACUAUAUAACUAUAAAGGUGUUUGGAAGAUUUUGAUCUUAAAUUUGAAAUUCACUUUGAAUUCCCUCCAAUUCUCACUUUAAUGAAUAACUCUUUAUAUUCGCAAAUAUAUAUUUAUAAAUA